UACGUAGGGUGCGAGCGUUAAUCGGAAUUACUGGGCGUAAAGCGUGCGCAGGCGGUUUGUUAAGCCAGAUGUGAAAGCCCCGGGCUCAACCUGGGAACUGCGUUUGGUACUGGCAAGCUAGAGUACGGCAGAGGGGGGUGGAAUUCCACGUGUAGCAGUGAAAUGCGUAGAGAUGUGGAGGAACACCGAUGGCGAAGGCAGCCCCCUGUGCCGAUACUGACGCUCAGGCACGAAAGCGUGGGGAGCAAACAGG
rnacentral:rRNA from 1 species